rnacentral:misc_RNA from 1 species
CCUUGUUUCCAUGACUUUUAGGCUCAAGAUUUUUGACAAUAUGAUGCUGCCUUGGAUUAAGAUAAUUGGUACAAAGAAUCUCCAUUUAAUUGAAAGCAACAGGACACAACUUAAAUGGUGAAUGUGAUCAUCAUAUACAUCAUUUAAGCUUGUCUUAUGUGCAACCUAUAUUAAUUAAUAGAUGGUAUCAGAUCUAUAUCACAAUUGACUAUUCUGUAAGAUGUAUACCCUGCAUAAACAAUUUUUACAACUUCUAAUGGAUGUCAAACACUGUCAUGUCCAAGAAACACCUAUAUUGUCCCUUCUGAAGCUGGUCAGAACCAGGCAAAUCAUUGAAAUUCAUAGACCAUUGGAUUCACAAAUAAUGGCUGGUUUAAAAGGUUGCCCUGAUUCACCUGGAACUUCCCAGAAUUUGUAUAAUGGGUAGCCAUUUCUCCAAGCUGAAAAUUUUCAGCAUGGUCAGUCCCAGUCCCAGCAUUGCUCAUGACGUUUUGGAAAUCUAAACUUGGAUUGUAUGUGUUGUCGUUUAGAAGCUGAGAAAUUGAUCCCAUAUACUCAAAUUCCAGUAGAUGAGAAAGGGAACAUGUCUUUGAAAUUUUCAGCAUUUGUUGCUCACUGGCAUCAUUAGCUACAGGUUUUUCCAAUUGUGUAUUUGUAAUUUCUACUUUCUCCUCCAAAUUUCUUCCAAUAUUUCUCUUCUUAUAAAUCCUGCACAGGACCCAAUCAUCCAAUCUCAUGGAUCCAUUUUGCUGUUUGACUUGCUUUCUUGAAUCAUUUAAGCGAUAUUCAUGCAUAAUCCAAUCACUCUUAAUACCCUUUGGUGGCCUACCCUUGUAGAACACAAGAGCUUUCUUAACACCAACAUAUUUAGACCCACUGUAGAUGGCCUUGUCUGUGCCAGUGGCCUUCCAAUACCCAGACACAGUUGCUCUGUUAGGCCUCACUCCAUUUGGAUACUUCCUGUCACGAGGAGUAAAGAAGUACCAUUCAUUUUCUCCAAAUUCUGCUUUCUCAGGUAAUUGCCAAGGAUCAAACUUGUAAAUAUCAACUUCUGGGAUUAUUGACACGGGCAAUGGCCUAGAAUUGGCUUGGUUACGAAGGGAAUAUAUGAUCAAUUAAUUCCUCAUCAGUUGGGUGGAAUCUAAAACCAGGUGGAAGGUCAGAGCUGGUUUUUCCUUGCAUUUUCAAGUGCUGGAAACAAUCCAAGAAAAUAAACAAGGCCAAGAAAAGAUAAAAUAGAUCUAUAUAUGAGAGACUGCUGCUAGGUGCUAAUAAUUUCCUUAGGCUAGGCUAAGGAGGA